rnacentral:rRNA from 1 species
UACGGGAGGCAGCAGUGGGGAAUAUUGCACAAUGGGCGCAAGCCUGAUGCAGCCAUGCCGCGUGUAUGAAGAAGGCCUUCGGGUUGUAAAGUACUUUCAGUCGUGAGGAAGGUGUUAAGGUUAAUAACCUUAGCAAUUGACGUUAGCGACAGAAGAAGCACCGGCUAACUCCGUGCCAGCAGCCGCGGUAAUACGGAGGGUGCGAGCGUUAAUCGGAAUUACUGGGCGUAAAGGGCACGCAGGCGGUUAAUUAAGUUGGAUGUGAAAUCCCCGGGCUUAACCUGGGAAUGGCAUUCAAGACUGGUUAGCUAGAGUCUUGUAGAGGGGGUUAGAAUUCCAUGUGUAGCGGUGAAAUGCGUAGAGAUGUGGAGGAUACCGGUGGCGAAGGCGGCCCCUGGACAAAGGCUGACGCUCAUGCGCGAAAGCGUGGGGAGCAAACAGGGAUUAGAUACC